GAUGAACGCUUGCGGCGUGCCUAAUACAUGCAAGUCGAGCGAACAGACGAGGAGCUUACUCCUCUGACGUUAGCGGCGGACGGGUGAGUAACACGUGGAUAACCUACCUAUAAGACUGGGAUAACUUCGGGAAACCGGAGCUAAUACCGGAUAACAUGUUGAACCGCAUGGUUCAACAGUGAAAGACGGUCUUGCUGUCACUUAUAGAUGGAUCCGCGUCGCAUUAGCUAGUUGGUAAGGUAACGGCUUACCAAGGCAACGAUGCGUAGCCGACCUGAGAGGGUGAUCGGCCACACUGGAACUGAGACACGGUCCAGACUCCUACGGGAGGCAGCAGUAGGGAAUCUUCCGCAAUGGGCGAAAGCCUGACGGAGCAACGCCGCGUGAGUGAAGAAGGUCUUCGGAUCGUAAAACUCUGUUAUUAGGGAAGAACAAAUGUGUAAGUAACUAUGCACGUCUUGACGGUACCUAAUCAGAAAGCCACGGCUAACUACGUGCCAGCAGCCGCGGUAAUACGUAGGUGGCAAGCGUUAUCCGGAAUUAUUGGGCGUAAAGCGCGCGUAGGCGGUUUUUUAAGUCUGAUGUGAAAGCCCACGGCUCAACCGUGGAGGGUCAUUGGAAACUGGAAAACUUGAGUGCAGAAGAGGAAAGUGGAAUUCCAUGUGUAGCGGUGAAAUGCGCAGAGAUAUGGAGGAACACCAGUGGCGAAGGCGACUUUCUGGUCUGUAACUGACGCUGAUGUGCGAAAGCGUGGGGAUCAAACAGGAUUAGAUACCCUGGUAGUCCACGCCGUAAACGAUGAGUGCUAAGUGUUAGGGGGUUUCCGCCCCUUAGUGCUGCAGCUAACGCAUUAAGCACUCCGCCUGGGGAGUACGACCGCAAGGUUGAAACUCAAAGGAAUUGACGGGGACCCUCACAAGCGGUGGAGCAUGUGGUUUAAUUCGAAGCAACGCGAAGAACCUUACCAAAUCUUGACAUCCUCUGACCCCUCUAGAGAUAGAGUUUUCCCCUUCGGGGGACAGAGUGACAGGUGGUGCAUGGUUGUCGUCAGCUCGUGUCGUGAGAUGUUGGGUUAAGUCCCGCAACGAGCGCAACCCUUAAGCUUAGUUGCCAUCAUUAAGUUGGGCACUCUAAGUUGACUGCCGGUGACAAACCGGAGGAAGGUGGGGAUGACGUCAAAUCAUCAUGCCCCUUAUGAUUUGGGCUACACACGUGCUACAAUGGACAAUACAAAGGGCAGCGAAACCGCGAGGUCAAGCAAAUCCCAUAAAGUUGUUCUCAGUUCGGACUGUAGUCUGCAACUCGACUACAUGAAGUUGGAAUCGCUAGUAAUCGUAGAUCAGCAUGCUACGGUGAAUACGUUCCCGGGUCC
rnacentral:rRNA from 1 species